UCCUUUGCUUUUAGAUAAACUGCAGGGUGAGCUCAAGUGGAGAAGAGCCCUACUAAAUGCAGGCUGGGAGAAAGCCAGACAACAUGCAGGUAACUGCUGUAAACUCUGCUGAAUGUGAUCUUU